UAACCUUAGGACAGGGAUAACCUCGGGAAACUGAGGAUAAUACCUGAUAGGAAAUAAUUUCUGGAAUGAUCUAUUUCUUAAACGUAAGGCCUAAGGAUGAGGCUGCGGCUGAUUAGCUAGUUGUUGGUGUAACGGACUAACAAGGCGAUGAUCAGUAAGGGCUCUUAGCGGAGAAGCCCUGAGAAGGAAUCUUAGACACUAUUCCUAGCUCUACGGGGUGCAGCAGUCGAGGAAAUUUUUCAAUGCCCGAAAGGGUGAACGAGUAAGUCAGAGUGUUUUCUUUACGAAAACUUUUGUCUGUUGUAAAAAGACAGACGAAUAAGGACUGGGCAAGACCGGUGCCAGCCGCCGCGGUAAUCCCGGCGGUCCAAGUCGCAUCCACAAUUAUUGGGUCUAAAACAUCCGUAGCUUGCUUUGUAAGUCUCUUGUGAAAUUCCAUAUCUCAAGUAUGGAGCGUGCAAGAGAUACUACAGGGCUAGAGACCGGAAGACGCAAAGAGUACGAUCGAGGUAGCGGUAAAAUGUGUUAAUCUUGGUCGGACUAACAGUGGCGAAGGCGCUUUGCGAGUACGGAUCUGACAGUGAGGGAUGAAGGCUAGGGGCGCAAAAGGGAUUAGAUACCCCUGUAGUCCUAGCAGUAAACACUGCAUACUAAACAUCAGUACCUCUUCGAGAGGUAUUGGUGCUGUAGGGAAGCCGAAGAGUAUGCUACCUGGGAAGUAUAGUCGCAAGACCGAAACUUAAAGGAAUUGGCGGGGGAGCAC
rnacentral:rRNA from 1 species